rnacentral:rRNA from 1 species
CCCAACUGCUAUUUGGGUGAGAAUAAGCCAUGCGAGUUGAAUGGGAUACCUAAAGUUCCCAUAGCAAACUGCUCAGUAACACAUGAUCAACUUACCCUAUAGAGAAAAAUAACCUCGGGAAACUGAGGAUAAUGUUUCAUAAUUGAAUUGGCUUGGAAAAGUUUUUCAAUGAAAAGGAUAAAAAAAAUGGUUUUUAUCUGCUAUAGGAUAGGAUCGUGUUCGAUUAUGGUUGUUGGUGAGAUAAUGGCUCACCAAGCCGAUAAUCGAUAGGGGCCGUGAGAGCGGGAGCCCCGAGAUGGGUACUGAGACAACGACCCAGGCCUUACGAGGCGCAGCAGGCGCGGAACCUCCGCAAUACACGAAAGUGUGACGGGGUUACCCAAAGUGUUCAAUUUGAACUGUGGUAGGUGAGUAAUGUCCCCUACUAGAAAGGAGAGGGCAAGGCUGGUGCCAGCCGCCGCGGUAAAACCAGCUCUUCAAGUGGUCGGGAUAAUUAUUGGGCUUAAAGUGUCCGUAGCCGGUUUAGUAAGUUCCUGGUAAAAUCGGGUAGCUUAACUAUCUGCAUGCUAGGAAUACUGCUAUACUAGAGGGCGGGAGAGGUCUGAGGUACUGCAGGGGUAGGGGUGAAAUCUUAUAAUCCUUGUAGGACCACCAGUGGCGAAGGCGUCAGACUGGAACGCGCCUGACGGUGAGGGACGAAAGCCAGGGGAGCGAACCGGAUUAGAUACCCGGGUAGUCCUGGCCGUAAACGAUGCAUACUAGGUGAUGGUACGGCCAUGAGCCGUAUCAGUGCCGUAGGGAAACCGUUAAGUGUGCCGCCUGGGAAGUACGGUCGCAAGGCUAAAACUUAAAGGAAUUGGCGGGGGAGCACCACAAGGGGUGAAGCCUGCGGUUC